CAGAUGAUGAAUUUGAAGCCCUGACAAAGAGAAGGCAAAAUGAGUUUGUGUCCCUGAGUUGCUAAGUGGAGAAGAAACGUCCACCAACCAGGAAACAUCUGCCUCCAACUGUUAAAGGUCUGUGAAAUGUGCUUUGUUUCUGGUCAGCAUGGUCACCCGCUUUAAUAGUGGCUUCAGAUGAGGCACCUUGUGACAGAGGAGCUCUUCCCCUGGUAAGCCAUUUCUCUUGAUAUGUCUUCAGCUCCUUGGUAACAGCUUGUGAUGAUGAUCUUGCAGACUUUUCCAGCUUUUCUGCUGAUACUCAGAUUCUUCUUCUCAGCAGGCUGGUUCUUGUUUAGCUAGCUAAUGAUUUUAUUGAAUCUUUAAGAAUCUUGUGUUUGC
rnacentral:lncRNA from 1 species